rnacentral:sRNA from 1 species
UGCACAAGAAGGGCCAAGAUACGCGAG